GUGUCCGACACAGGGCAGCCCCGGCCUCUCCUCCCAGAGCCCCCCGCAGCCACCACUCCUGACCACUUAAGGUCUGCCCACAAUAUAAAGCUCAAUAAACAACUUGCAUUAUUUGUGAGAAACAGCACUUUGGUUCCAGGUUGAGACUGUGCCCAGAUUGUCAGUUUAGGGCAUGAAGAUGGUUGUCAUCUCCUCUUUGGGGCUCAGGGAAAGAGAUGGAUUUACUGAAACAGACACCUGCUGUGGAAGUUAUUUAGCUCAUGUAAUUCCUAUUCUUCUCUUGAAUCCAUAAGACAGGCAUCAUCAACUGCAAGGCAUCUUCUGGUCACCUCCCUCUGCUGUAGUGCUACUCAGAAGUUGUCCCAACACUGAUUGAUUCAGGAGUUUGAG